GACGAACGCUGGCGGCGUGCCUAAUACAUGCAAGUCGAACGCUGAAGGAGGAGCUUGCUUCUCUGGAUGAGUUGCGAACGGGUGAGUAACGCGUAGGUAACCUGCCUGGUAGCGGGGGAUAACUAUUGGAAACGAUAGCUAAUACCGCAUAAGAGUAGAUGUUGCAUGACAUUUGCUUAAAAGGUGCAAUUGCAUCACUACCAGAUGGACCUGCGUUGUAUUAGCUAGUUGGUGGGGUAACGGCUCACCAAGGCGACGAUACAUAGCCGACCUGAGAGGGGGAGCGGCCACACUGGGACUGAGACACGGCCCAGACUCCUACGGGAGGCAGCAGUAGGGAAUCUUCGGCAAUGGACGGAAGUCUGACCGAGCAACGCCGCGUGAGGGAAGAAGGUUGUCGGAUCGUAAAGCUCGGUUGUAAGAGAAGAACGAGUGUGAGAGUGGAAAGUUCACACUGUGACGGUAUCUUACCAGAAAGGGACGGCUAACUACGUG
rnacentral:rRNA from 1 species